UACGUAUUUUAGAGCAUCCAUGUGUCCUUUUCUUCUCCUUUACCCUUAAGUUACCCUCUCCCAUCUAUGUUGCUUUGUUCAGAAAAUACGUUUAGGCAGAGACUAGGGAGCAGAGUAUUCAAAUAGCUGAAGUCUCACUUCUUUUUGUUGGUAGAAUACCAGUUUCCACAGCAUGAGACUACCAGCACAGUAAAAACCACCACAUGAAACAUUGUCUAGACUUGAUUUUCUUUGGAGGAUUCUGGGCAAGAAUUGUUACAGAGCCCAUGGAACUGAGUUGAACCUGUACCAACCCUGUCUUGAAUCUUAGAACUUCCUUUUCUUGAAGGAGUAUAUUCUUAAGUAGCAGCUUGUUUACUUGCUAUUUUCAUAAAAGUAAAAAUAUGCCAUAUAUAACUCAUGCCUGGUUCUUUGAGCUUUCACUG
rnacentral:lncRNA from 1 species